rnacentral:piRNA from 1 species
CCAUCGGUGUGCCUGCUCCUUCCAGCC